GGACAUUUGGCUGAUGAGCUCCACCUGUUGACUUUAGAACACCAUGCAAACAACAAGGAGCUGAGAAGAAUGUCACAGAGAGGACACUAAUGGAUCAUUGAAUGGAGCUGUUGGGGGCAACCAGAUGAGAAGCUGCUGCUAUGAUGAAGAAUACUCAGUGAGAUGAAAGAUGCACUUUUCUGAUCUGGGUCGAUGCACAAAGUGACACCCAUGCACACCGUUAGAAGACUGACAGG